GAUGAACGCUGGCGGCGUGCCUAAUACAUGCAAGUCGAGCGAACAGACGAGGAGCUUGCUCCUCUGACGUUAGCGGCGGACGGGUGAGUAACACGUGGAUAACCUACCUAUCAUACUGGGAUAACUUCGGGAAACCGGAGCUAAUACCGGAUAAUAUAUUGAACCGCAUGGUUCAAUAGUGAAAGACGGUUUUGCUGUCACUUAUAGAUGGUUCCGCGCCGCAUUAGCUAGUUGGUAAGGUAAAGGCUUACCAAGGCAACGAUGCGUAGCCAACCUGAGAGGGUGAUCGGCCACACUGGAACUGAGACACGGACCAGACGCCUGAGGGACGCAGCAGUAGGGAAUCUUCCGCAAUGGGCGAAAGCCUGACGGAGCAACGCCGCGUGAGUGAUGAAGGUCUUCGGAUCGUAAAACUCUGUUAUUAGGGAAGAACAAAUGUGUAAGUAACUAUGCACGUCUUGACGGUACCGAAUCAGAAAGCAACGGCUAACUACGUG
rnacentral:rRNA from 1 species